rnacentral:rRNA from 1 species
GAAGCGUUCUUCGGCAGAACGAAGUCCAAUGGGGGGACAACGCACCGUUUUGCUUCGCCCCAACACAGGAUACACCUGUGCUAUCGCCAGCUAGACUCCCUACCGAUACCGACUUCUCGGCGACGAGUUGCACCGCCUCAGCCGAACUAAUAGGGAGUUUAAUGAUUUACCAAGGUCACGCUCAGUAGCUGCCCUUAGAGCAUGAUCUGUCACAUUGGGGGUGACACUCGGCCCAAGCUCCUACGGGAGUGAGCACCGGGCCAUCUUCCUCACUGGGGGUCACCGGGAGUCUCCCUUGCCUUGUGAGCCAUGACGGCCCUAGGAUUGUAAAGGUCUUUUGUCCGGGCAGAGCAUGACGCUACCUCUCGAAAAAGCCGCGGGUAACUUCGUGCCAACACCCGUGGUACUAGGUCCGGGGAGAACGUUGCUCCUAUUCAAUGGGUGCAAAAGGUGCCAAGGCCGGUUAUGAAGCUCCGGGUGACAUCCAAUUAACCCACUCCAGACCUGGCUUGGACACUCCCCCGCCUGAUCCUUGAAGAUGUGAGUCUCACUCCCGACUGCCCCGGUGAAAAUCCUUAAAUUUUUCCACUGACGCCACCUGGGUAAAAGCCGCCCCCCUGGGCCCGGAAAUUGACCGCUUAUCCGCGGGAACCAUUCCGGAGGAUACAAAGCCUUGGUUUUCUCCCCCCAAGCCUUUCCCCCCCUAAAAAAAUAUAAUUGCCUGGCCCCAUUAGAAGGCCGGUUUUCUCCCCCCACGGGGG